rnacentral:lncRNA from 1 species
CUUGUUUUGAAAUCUGAAGCUUUCUCUUGUUAUUGGGCAAAAGAUUCAUGCAAGACUUGCUCCUGAGCUAUUGUCCUGACAAGGGAUGUGGAUCCUUAUCACCCUGGUCGGGGUCUGAGUCAGAAAUCAGUUCCAGUUUCCUUGGCAGCCCUGCCAGAGAGUUAGAACAAGCUGUAACAUUUGAGUAGAAAAGGGAUGGAAGACUGUGCUCUUAAUAUUUCCUUAGAAUUUUGGGGUUUUAUUGCUAAUGACCUGACUGCUCAUUUUCAGUGUCAAAGGGAAGUCUUCAAAUUUUUGAACUUUUUCAAUAUCGAUGGCCAGACUUAAACUUGUCUCCUUUUUAUUGGGGCAUGGAGCAAGUUCUUCUUCAAAUACAAAUUCUUUCCUCCGUGGAAGAAAGCCGCGAUAGUCUUGUCAUUCCUACUCUGUGGCAAAGAGCAGCUCCUUUUAAAGCCAUAGCAUCAUUCUGCUAGAAUACAACCUGAGCAUGUCCAUUCAUGGCUACUCAUACUUUCCACUGGGUGGGAUUUCAGAUCUUCAUGUGUUUUCAGGAGUCUCAGAGAAUGAACUGACACACAUUCUUAACAGUUUGGGGGGAGAUACUUGGGAUAGAACUUGUGGUUUUUUUUUUUUUUUUUAGGGUAUAUGUGUAUAUUUUCCUUUCUGCUUUUGUUGUUAACUGUUAACCUAACCCUUAGUUUGGUGGUUAGAGAAGUAAUGGGAAGGGUCUAAAGAAGGCUCAAAUGACAUUCAUCUUUGCUAUAAAUGUGUAGUUUGUUUCCCACAAGACUAGUUAGAAAUAAUCUUGGCAGGAGUUGUGUGUAUCUAAAUAGUAAUUUCUUAAGGAAGCAUAAUAUGUGUAUUUUAAUUGCUGCCAAGAAUUGAGCACAGACAUUUGUUAUACUCAUUUGUCUGUUUGAUGUUUUUCUGAAGAGGAAAAUGCAGGGGAGGUAGAGCCUAUUGAAAAUUAGCUUUCUGGAGGGGGACAACCAGGGUAAUGAGAGUAACAACAGCUCACUUUUGCCAAGCCCUUACUAUCAUUAUUCUGAUAAUAAUUUAUUAGCUCUUGCUAUUAGUGAUCUCUUUUUUUUAAAAAAAAAAACUUGCCCUCUUUAAUGCUUAAAAAAACACUAAAAUGCACAUAUGGGACUAUAUCGUACAGAUCAGAAUCAUUGGAAUCAGUGUCUUUCAUGAAAAUGUUAUGUAUGAAGCUAUAACCAGUGUUACCUGGUUUGUCCUCUACCUUUUACAACUCUGUUUCUCAGAGGGUGCAAUAAAGGUACAAAGGAGAUCAAAACAGGAUUCCUGUUUCUUUGAAGAGCACUACUUCUUCCACCCAAAGAAGUAAGUUACUUAGGAAAGAAGGAUGGAAUAGACUACUCUUCCUGUUCCCACUUUCAGGGAGACCUCCUAAGACAUGAAGGGGGCAAAAUAAGAUUGCAAAAUAAAAAUUCACAUUAGGGAUGGAUUCAAAUGGUAGUUGGUUAAAACAGGGUAGUAUCUUUCCCACAGAUUUGUAUUCCAACAUAUAUCACAUACUUUACUGGGAGCAUCUUUAACUUAAGCAGUAAAAGAGCAAUCCAGCUGGGAGCUAGGGCAGUGUUUUUCAAACUUGACUCUUAGAGGUGCUUUAGAAGUUGUGAAUAUUUUUGGUUUAAAUCUAUCUAUCUAUCUAUCUAUC